CCCCCCUUCUGAUAGAGACACUCUUCCAUUGGGACUCAGCCCAUUCUCACUCACCACUGAGACAAAAUAUUAGCCAGGCUAAGAUGGAUGGAUGGAUGUCUGAACGAAUGAAUGAAGAGAAGAUAAUGGAUGAAUGAACAUUCGCCGGGUAGAAGGCGAUCUUCGUCUUCCUCCGUGGAAUUCGAAGCUUGACCUAAUUUGAAGCUGUCUCGGGAUUUGAGAGAUGCUUCUGUCUCGUUUUCACGGGAUCAUUUCGAGGAUUGAGCAGUUGCGUAUUUGUGUGGACUUUCGAUGCAUGAAGAAGAAACCGAGAUGAAAUUUGAUCCUAACUGCGCGUGGGAACAGUCCCGUUGAGAAAGGGUUGUGGCUCAAGCUGUCAAGCUGUAACUCCCAUGAGCUAUAUCGUAUGCGGUUUUGCGGAAAGAAGAAGCAAUUGUUUUGCCUGCAGUACUUACAUUGUGCGGAUCCAAUUUUUUUAUUCGCUGCUUCCUGCGUUUCAAUCUUGUUUAAAUAAUUAUGGAAUUUUAGCAAAGGGUGGAGAUCAACACUCACGUGGAGAAGAACCUCAUCCUAGAGAAGACCUCGAAUCGAGGCUAGAAAAACAGUGUUAGAGCCAAUCAAAGAGAUGCUGAUGCCCAAGUAACCUUCUCCCUGAGGUUUUUUAUGCAUGUCAACUGAAUUCACCCUUAAUAAACAUUGCUUUUUCUUGGCUUCUUCACCUCGAUGAUACAUACAUCUUAGUCCUAUGUAUCUGAAGUUGUAAUGUUAUUCUGUGUUGCUCAAUCGACGUCAUCAACUAUUCGUGACAUACCACGUCCCAGUUUAAAUGGUAGGCGGAACUUGUUGAUAAGACCGUGGGAUAACGUGGAGCUUGCUGCUCCAACUUAUCUCAUCGAUCGGUACUGAGGUUGGCUGCAAUUGACUAGGGGAGAUCCAGCGCACUGCCUUGCGAUCCAGCGAGCUCUUAUUACAGCAUUCUUUUUUUUCUUUGACACGAACAACUUGUCCCGAAGACGACACCUGAAUCUCGUGCCCUAGUCAUGACCCUCGCUCCUCCAGCCAACCAGACGUCCGUUUCGUCCUUCGCGCAUUCAUCAUUAAUGCUUCAAUUUGAUUCCGUCACUCUCAUAGAUACGGUUUGUCGGCUCACCAAUCAUAUCGCAUGUAUGGCAGAGUCGCUCUUGCAUCACGAGCGUUAUCAUUUUGCAUGAUUUGGGAUUUUCGGGGCAAUGAGUUCUGGUAAUGAGGAGACGGGGAGAGAUGAAGCUUUUCUGUGUGUAUAGUGCAGUUGCGGAGACCGAGGUUGCAACUUGUUUGGAUUACGACGAUGCCUGGAUCGCUCGGAAGGGAUUUAUCAAUUUGUCGCUGAACGAUCCCCAUAAUGUUAGACGCCCACCACUUCGGAGGCAGCGCAGCUGCAGUAUCCGGUGGUAUCCGCUUGCCCGUCUACACUGUCAGAUGCACUUUUUUCGUAGGGUGCCAAGUUAGGGGAAUUUAGUGAAGACACCGCAGCUACUCAGGUGGGAAGUUUGAAGUAAUAUGUAUUUAACAAUUAACUCAAUAAAAAUUUCAUACUGAUCAUUUUA